rnacentral:rRNA from 1 species
GACGAACGCUGGCGGCGUGCCUAAUACAUGCAAGUUGAGCGCUGAAGGUUGGUACUUGUACCAACUGGAUGAGCAGCGAACGGGUGAGUAACGCGUGGGGAAUCUGCCUUUGAGCGGGGGACAACAUUUGGAAACGAAUGCUAAUACCGCAUAAAAACUUUAAACACAAGUUUUAAGUUUGAAAAAUGCAAUUGCAUCACUCAAAGAUGAUUCCGCGUUGUAUUAGCUAGUUGGUGAGGUAAAGGCUCACCAAGGCGAUGAUACAUAGCCGACCUGAGAGGGUGAUCGGCCACAUUGGGACUGAGACACGGCCCAAACUCCUACGGGAGGCAGCAGUAGGGAAUCUUCGGCAAUGGACGAAAGUCUGACCGAGCAACGCCGCGUGAGUGAAGAAGGUUUUCGGAUCGUAAAACUCUGUUGGUAGAGAAGAACGUUGGUGAGAGUGGAAAGCUCAUCAAGUGACGGUAACUACCCAGAAAGGGACGGCUAACUACGUG